GGCGUGCCUAACACAUGCAAGUCGCGCGGGAAAGCCCCUUCGGGGGUAAGUAAAGCGGCGGACGGGUGAGUAACGCGUGGACAACCUACCCCGGGGUUGGGGAUAACCCUGCGAAAGCGGGGCUAAUACCGAAUACGCUGUUCUUUUCCUGGGUGAUUUGUUUCACCGAGGAAGGGAAUGGGAAAGGUGGCCUCUGUAUCAAGCUACCGCCCCGGGAUGGGUUCGCGUCCCAUUAGCUUGUUGGUGGGGUCAAGGCCUACCAAGGCGACGAUGGGUAGCCGGCCUGAGAGGGUGAUCGGCCACACUGGGACUGGAACACGGCCCAGACUCCUACGGGAGGCAGCAGUGGGGAAUCUUGGGCAAUGGGCGCAAGCCUGACCCAGCGACGCCGCGUGUGGGAAGAAGGCCUUCGGGUCGUAAACCACUGUCAGGAGGGAAGAAAAGCAGUUUCCGAACAGGGAGCUGUGUUGACGGUACCUCCAGAGGAAGCACCGGCCAACUCCGUGCCAGCAGCCGCGGUAAUACGGAGGGUGCAAGCGUUAUUCGGAAUCACUGGGCGUAAAGCGCGCGUAGGCGGCAGCGCAAGUCAGAUGUGAAAGCCCUCGGCUAAACCGAGGAAUUGCAUCUGAAACUGCGUAGCUAGAGUUCGGGAGAGGGUGGCGGAACUCCCGGUGUAGGGGUGAAAUCCGUAGAUAUCGGGAGGAACACCAGAGGCGAAGGCGGCCGCCUGGACCGAAACUGACGCUGAGGCGCGAAAGCGUGGGUAGCAAACAGGAUUAGAUACCCUGGUAGUCCACGCCGUAAACAUUGGGCGCUAGAUGCUGGGGGCGUUAGAGCCUUCGGUGUCGCAGCUAACGCGUUAAGCGCCCCGCCUGGGGAGUACGGU
rnacentral:rRNA from 1 species